GGAAAAAUUCAAAGGACAAGCUAUAAAUUAAGUAAAUAUAUUAAAAGAAAAUGCACAUAUUUCUUCCAAAAAUUAAGUGUGUAUUUAGAAUCACACAUUGAGUUUCACAAAAUUAAGGUAGCACUUAGCUAAUAUGAUUUUGUUGAAACUCAAAAGUCCAAAGUAUAGCUUAUGGCAAAAUCAUAAUGAUACAAUGAGAUUCUGCCUAACUAUAACCUGUUAAUUCAAACACAUUAAAUCAGCUUAACUAUAUUACAUUACAUACUCCUAUAUUACUUAAUGGAAGAGAAAACAUGUUUGUCCAUGUCCAUUCCAUGAUGUCUUGUUUGUUGAAAAACGUUGAUGACUUUACUACCUGUUGUGUAGUGGAUUUGGACCUGUAGGAACGACCCUUUUGUCCUCUGAUGAUGACGUGUUGUUGUAGCAAGAAGACAAGUGUUUUCUUUUGUGGUUGCAUUUGUGAACAUCAUCAUCAAGUACUGCCACACUGCUACUGUUCUUCUUCUUUGCUCCAUCAAACAAAUUUCCAACAAAAACUGUUUUCCUUGCCACUGUAGUUGACCCAAUACAAGCCCAAAAUAAAAUGCAUAUCACAAGUAUCACUUCUUGUAACUUCAUCUUCACAAUCUAAACUUAUAUAAAAGAUAUAGAAUAUAAUACCUAGAAAUUUUUGAGUCAAAUAGGGAAUAUUGGUGGCAAAGAAAAUAAGGAGAUGAACAAGAAGGAGGUAGAGGAAGCAAAAGGAAUUGAUUUAUAUUGUUAGUGAGGGAAAGAGAGAGUGUUAUAAGAAUGGGACAUUAACUAUGGUACCUCGGAUAUAUGCAGUAAAAGACUUUGAAUUUGAUACAUCACAUCUCUUUGGUCAGAAAUUUCACCAAACCUCAUUAAUUCACUUCAAUUCUAUGGUGACAAAAUAAUAGCAAUAGUAAUAGUAAUACUAUUAUUUUAACCAAAUGGAAUUUUGAACAUAAAUGAUGAGUAAAUUAAGGAGUGAAAAGUGCAACAUUCCGUUCCUUAGAAUUUGCAACCUAGUUAACAAAAAGGUCCUCUCCUCUAAUAUCCGAUAGAUUAGAGAAAAUUCUUGUUGAAUAUGGGGGAGGUAGCUAUGGCUUUAUCACGUGAUGCUCGAAUUAAGGACCAUGCUUGAAAAGCUGACACUUAUUGAGAGGAAAAAAGGAGUUUGCAGGGGAAUUAAAUGGGUUGUUUUGAC
rnacentral:lncRNA from 1 species